CAUUUAGUUGGGCACUCUAAAGUGACUGCCGGUGCAAGCCGGAGGAAGGUGGGGAUGACGUCAAAUCAUCAUGCCCCUUAUGACCUGGGCUACACACGUGCUACAAUGGAUAGUACAAAGGGUCGCGAAGCCGCGAGGUGGAGCUAAUCCCAUAAAACUAUUCUCAGUUCGGAUUGUAGGCUGCAACUCGCCUACAUGAAGCCGGAAUCGCUAGUAAUCGUGGAUCAGCAUGCCACGGUGAAUACGUUCCCGGGCCUUGUACACACCGCCCGUCACACCACGAGAGUUUGUAACACCCGAAGUCGGUAGGGUAACCUUUAUGGAGCCAGCCGCCGAAGGUGGGACAGAUAAUUGGGGUGAAGUCGUAACAAGGUAGC
rnacentral:rRNA from 1 species